GUCCCCUUCGUCUAGUGGCCUAGGACACCGCCCUUUCACGGCGGUAACAGGGGUUCGACGUCCCUAGGGGACGCCA
rnacentral:tRNA from 1 species